CCUACGGGUGGCAGCAGUAAGGAAUAUUGGUCAAUGGAGGAAACUCUGAACCAGCCAUCCCGCGUGAAGGAUGAAGGGGCUCUGCCUUGUAAACUUCUUUUGUCUGGGGCGAAAAAGCUCGAUUUAUCGAGAACUGACGGUACCAGAAGAAUAAGCACCGGCUAACUCCGUGCCAGCAGCCGCGGUCAUACGGAGGGUGCAAGCGUACUCCGGAUUCACUGGGCGUAGAGGGCGUAGUAAGUCAGUGGUGAAAGGCUGUGGCUUAACCAUGGAAUUGCCAUUGAUACUGCAGAGCUUGAAGGAGGUUGAGGUUGGCGGAAUGUGACAUGUAGCGGUGAAAUGCUUAGAUAUGUCAUGGAACACCGAUUGCGAAGGCAGCUGACUGGACCUAUAUUGACGCUGAGGCACGAAAGCGUGGGGAGCGAACAGGAUUAGAUACCCCAGUAGUC
rnacentral:rRNA from 1 species